ensembl:miRNA
CAUUUAGGACUAGAUGUUGGAAUUAGACAGAAAAAAUUAGACACAAACAUUGUGUCUAAUUCCAACAUCUAGUCCUAUAUG